AACGCGAAGAACCUUACCCAGGCUUGACAUCCUUGGAAGCACUGCGAAAGCAGAGUGUGCCUUCGGGAACCAAGUGACAGGUGAUGCAUGGCCGUCGUCAGCUCGUGUCGUGAGAUGUUUGGUUAAGUCCAUCAACGAGCGCAACCCUUUUAGUUAGUUGUAUUUUUCUAGCUAGACUGCCCUGGUAACAGGGAGGAAGGAGGGGAUGAUGUCAGGUCAGUAUUUCCCUUACGUCUGGGGCUACAAACACGCUACAAUGGCCGGUACAAAGGGCAGCCAAGUCGCGAGACGGAGCAAAUCCCAUCAAAAGCCGGUACUCAGUUCGGAUUGCAGGCUGAAACUCGCCUGCAUGAAGCUGGAAUCGCUAGUAACGGUAGGUCAGCACACUACCGUGAAUACGUUCCCGGGCCUUGUACACACCGGAGUGC
rnacentral:rRNA from 1 species